CAAGGCAUAGAACCCACAGCAGGAGAUCAAAAUCCACAACCUUUUCCUCUUAGUAAAUAUAGCAAUGACACCAUUUCAACCUUACGGUUAUGUAUUUGUUACUAUGUUUGAGAAUGCUAGCUAGUUAUGGAACACAACAUAUUUGGGACGAUAUGCUAAAACGUCACAAUAUAUAUUUAACCUGCUGUAUUUUUCUUUUCUCCUCAUAAUAUGUUUUUUUGAAUUCUCAAGAGCCGACACCCUGAUAUAUUUUUAUUGUUUCUUAGAGUGAUGAAAAAUAUCAUUGUGGUGAAACUGGAUAUCGCAUUCGUCUGAAAUGUGUACCCUCUGGAAUUGGGUCCAAAGACUCAAAAGGUACAAAACAACAUAAGGAAAGAUCUACUCUUGAGUUUAUGGAGUUGGGUGUUAAUCAGCAUGAUGGAGACAUGAGUAUUUCUUCAACGAGGCAAAGAGAUUACACAGUGAUUCCUCCAACGCUGGACCACGCUCUUAUGUCACUUACAGGAGCUGUAUACCUGCUGUAAACGAAGAAAAAUUGUCAGUACUAGGUUUUGAGGCCCUUAUGUUGGCUUUGCUCGUAAGCAGUGGCUCAUUCAUUUACUUCAGGCGGAAACGUGCUGCUGCGCCUGGUGGCGUGCCAAUGAGGCUUCCUACUAGUUCUAGGUUUUAAGUCCAAUCUACGAUUACAUCAUAUAGAAACUUUUUUUGCUUUCCAAUGAAGACUUUUGUAAGUUAUGGCCAAUAUUCGCAGUGGUUUAUUUUGCUGUAUUGCCUAUUUUGUCUUGUAUCAAGAAUUUCUGUAAUUAUUAUUCUUUCUUCUA